UUCCCGGAACUGGAGGGCGGAGGUUCAGUGAGCGAGAUUGUGCCACUGCACUCCAGCCUGAGCCACAGAGUGAGACCCGUCAAAAAAAAAAAAAAAGCUUUUGUGGGAUGAAAUAGAAAGUAUUUCUGUUUGUUUGUUUUAUAAGUUCAUUUGAUGUAUUGGACGAUCAGUGGUUAGUUCUUUAUCCAUUGAUCAGAUUUUGAAAAUGGUAAAUUGCCAUGGUAACCAAAGUAUAGAGCUUGUUUGUUGAAUCUUUCAUCCCUCGCCAUGCUUUCUGGACAACCUUGAUACGUAUGGUCAAUCCUAUCUUCGGGCCCAAACAGCUUUGUUGAGCCUAGUAUCAAUGUGCACAUCUGGAGUGCCCAUCUCCUUCAUGGCAAAUUUUUGGAUCUCUUUGAGCGCCCAAGGGGCACACUUCCUGAAGUCCAUGCUAUGGAUGCGCUUGUGAAUGUUGAUGGCAGAAAGGCUCUUCUUCUUGCCAUCCUUCUUUGCAGGACCCAUCAUGCUGGCCCAAGGUGGAAAGCAAGAGAACUACAGAUUGUGGGAGAAAGAAAGCAGCGGUUCCCUGAAGGUAUUUCUUGAAACACUGGAGGAGAAUGGAGCUAGCUCAAAUGGGAAUAGUGCAUGUGGAAACAGCAGAAAGCCUCCCAACACUCAUUUUGUGCAGUGAGUCUCCUAUCCUGACCACAGCGAAUUGGACCAGGUGAGGGUACCUGAGCUAACCUGGGCUAGGGUCCCUUUCCCAGGAACUUUGAAUUAACACUAAGGGAUCCUCGCUUAUGUUCUGGCUGCUCUAUUAAAUGGAGACAAUGCAAAAAUGGGAGCUUGACCUGCCAUUUUGCCCGACCUAGCCUGCCCCUCAGAGAAAGUGAGAGGAGAAUGACUGAAGCCCAAUCACAGCAAGGGACAGAGACAAAAAGACCUGAGUGCUUUUCCAUCCUACGCUAGUCUCUGCUUGCUGAGGCUAAGUGCAUCCCUGCCCAGAAUCCUAAUAGCAAUUAUCCCCCUGUGCCUAUGCCAGCUCCAGUAAGUCCCUGGUAAAGCUCCUGCUGCUCCAUCUCAGGAGAAUCCCGGAUCCUGAUCAGUGCCUCAAUAUUGCAGAACAGAGGGAGUGAGGGAAAUAUUUAAUUUCCAACUCUGAAGGUCUACCAUGGAGAAGAGAGGAGCAGAAGGAAGAACUUAAUACUGGUGGAGCACUUGGUAAAAUGAAAAUAAAUAUUCUUUUUCUUUUUUUGAGAUGGAGUUUCACUCUUGUCUCCCAGGCUCGAGUGCAAUGGCGCAAUCUCGGCUCACUGCAACCUCCGCCUCCCGGGUUCAAGUGAUUCUCCUGCCUCAGUCUCCUGAGUAGCUGGGAUUACAGGCGCCCACCAUCACACUCGGCUAAUUUUUGUAUUUUUAGAAGAGAUGGGGUUUCACCACGUUGGCCAGGCUGCUCUUGAACUCCUAACCUCAGGUGAUUCACCCACCUCAGCCUCCCAAAGCGCUGGGAUUACAGAAAUGAGCCACUGCACCU
rnacentral:lncRNA from 1 species